rnacentral:rRNA from 1 species
UUGACCUACGGGGCGCAGCAGUGGGGGAUAUUGCACAAUGGGGGGAACCCUGAUGCAGCGACGCCGCGUGGGUGAAGAAGCGCCUCGGCGCGUAAAGCCCUGUCAGCAGGGAAGAAAAUGACGGUACCUGAAGAAAAAGCAUCGGCUAACUCCGUGCCAGCAGCCGCGGUAAUACGGAGGAUGCGAGCGUUAUCCGGAUUUAUUGGGUUUAAAGGGUGCGUAGGCGGGCUGUUAAGUUAGCGGUAAAAGCCCGGGGCUCAACCCCGGCGAGCCGUUGAAACUGGCUGGCUUGGGAUGUCGAGGGG